UACAGAGGUGGCAAGCGUUGUUCGGAAUUACUGGGCGUAAAGGGCGCGUAGGCGGUCUUGCAAGUCCUGUGUGAAAUCCCUCGGCUCAACUGAGGAACUGCACAGGAAACUGCUUGGCUUGAGUUCGGGAGAGGGAAGCGGAAUUCCGGGUGUAGCGGUGAAAUGCGUAGAUAUCCGGAGGAACACCGGUGGCGAAGGCGGCUUCCUGGACCGACACUGACGCUGAGGCGCAAAAGCUAGGGGAGCAAACGGG
rnacentral:rRNA from 1 species